rnacentral:rRNA from 1 species
UACGAAGGGGGCUAGCGUUGUUCGGAAUUACUGGGCGUAAAGGGCUCGUAGGUGGCCAACUAAGUCAGACGUGAAAGCCCCGGGCUCAACCUGGGAGGUGCGCGCGAAACGGGGGGGCUUGAGUUCGGGAGAGGAGAGUGGAAUUCCCAGUGUAGAGGUGAAAUUCGUAGAUAUUGGGAAGAACACCGGUGGCGAAGGCGGGUCUCUGGGCCGUAACUGACGCUGAGGAGCGAAAGCAUGGGGAGCGAACAGG